GGGGGCGAAACAGGAUCGACGAGGGUGUAAAGACUGCGCUUUCGCUCGGCAUGGUACCACCGAUAUCGGGCCAUCCUUAUAGUUGCCAACGACAACUAUGCUUCGGACGUCGCUCUCGCCGCGUAAUGCGGUGCGGGUAGUCCACCAAAGUCCUUCCGGGUAGCACCGGCAGGCGGGGUCCGGAGGCACCUGGCAACAGAAGCCUCCACC
rnacentral:tmRNA from 1 species